AGGAGGAUCAUCAUCAGCACAACUAGAAUAACAAUACAUCUACAGGAGGAUCAUCAUCAGCACAACUAGAAUAACAAUACAUCUACAGGAGGACCAUCAUCAGCACAUAUACUACAAUAGAAUAUUCAUGCAUUUAUGGGAUAGCCAUCUUAUGUACACCUGCUGAAGGACCAAAAUCUAGAAACGACUGGGGGAAGUACUGAAGGACCAGCAUCUACACACCUACAAGAAGAUCUUGAGGAUCAUUAUCAGCACAACUACUAGAAUAACAAUGCAGCUACUAGAGAAUCAUCACCUUGAGAACUACUGGAGAAUCAUCGUCAGGACUAGUACUAGAAUGUCUAAGCCUCUACUGGAAGACCAUCUUAUGGAAACCUGUUGAAGGUCCUUCAUCUGGAGAAUCACCAUCUGAACAAGUACUGAAGGACAGUUAUUACAGGAGGACCAUCAUCUGGACAACUACUGGAGAACCAACCUCUGAACAACUACUAGAGGACCAUCAUCUGGACAACUACUGGAGGACCAUCAUCUAGACGACUACUGGAGGACCAUUGUAUAGACGACUACUGGAGGACUAUUGUCUAGACGACUACUGGAGGACCAUCAUCUAGACGACUACUGGAGGACCAUUGUCUAGACGACUACUGGAGGACUAUUGUCUAGACGACUACUGGAGGACCAUCAUCUAGACGACUACUGGAGGACCAUCGUCUAGACGACUACUGGAGGACCAUCAUCAGAAAGUCAUUGCAUCUACACGAGGAUCAUUAUCAGGACUACUUGAAGAUUAUUUUUGGACAAUUGAUUGAGGAUCCAUCAUCAGGAGAACUAUUAAACAUAGGAUCUUCAUUAAGACAACUACCAUAAGAUUUUUAUUUUGGUCACUACUGAUCAACCAUCAUAUGCAGCUAUUGAGGAAUAUCCUCUAGACAAGUAAUGAAGAUAGUGCAUUUAGUGGAAGAGGAUUAUCUCCUGGACAUAUAUAUGAGGAUCACUACCAUUACAACUUAUGAUUGAACAUUGCCUGGAGAGCUACUUAUGAAUCAUCGAAUACUGGUUACGCAUGCAGGGUUAACACAGCUAAAUGAAAGUUCAUUAUGUGCAGAUCUACUGAAGAUUUUAUCCUAAACAUAAUUAUACUAAAGACUUCAUCUACAAAAAUGUAUCAUUUGAUUGAGGAUCAUUAUUCUUGUAUCUAUAGAAGGAAUAUCGUUUUGUUAUAUCAAGAGGAUAAUCAUCUAGAUAUGCACUAACAUCCAACCAAAAAAAAAUUAGGAUUCUCUUUGUUACAUAUUCUACUGGAUAAUCAGCUGUCAUUUACUGUAAUCUAAAAGUCAGGAACUCAUCACCAGGAAAUUUAGUAGAUGUCUGAACAUUUAUUUUUAGGACUGAUUGUCAGAAUAUUUACACAAGGAUAUUUGAAACAUUUACUUGAUGAUCAUAAUGCACUGGGGAUCACUACCUGUGCGUGAUUGUGAUCUGAACACGUACAGGAGAAUCGAUGCAUUUACUAAAUGAUGAAAAAAGCAUAAACAGAUCAUCAACUUGAGAAUGAUCACCAAGAGAAUCUUGCAUCUACCUUUAAUAAUCAUUUAGUAUAUCAGCAAGGAUUCUGAAAAGUUUAUGAUGACAAGGCAAGAAUCGGGGAAUCUUGGAUUAUAUGACCAUCAACAUUAGUAUCUCAUCAGGUCAUGUAAAGGACUUAUACAGAUUUUGAAAAGUCAGAACAUCUUCCAACAAUUUCUGUCAGGAAAUCAAGCUGUCAAGAACAAUAUGCUUCACAUGAUUGAUGACAGAUAUUAUCCACAUAUGGGACAACACAAAAAGUCAAUAAUCAGUAACGGAUACAAAUCUAAACAACAACAUUGAAAUCAUCAUCACGAGGACUGAAAAUUCAUUGAGAAGUCAAGUUCUGGACAACAGAGUAUUGCCAUGAUCACGUAAAUGGGGCAUUCAGCUGUAUUAAUCAAAUCGACCUUGGUUUUAUUAAUCCAGUCGACCUUGGUGUUUGAGCAUUUGCACUGCAUUGUACUAGCUUCACUUUAAGGAGAUGACCUACUACCUGCUCCUCAGAAUAUUCUUAAUUGAGGAUGAGUGUGGAUAUACCUGUUUUAACGACCAAGAGAAAUUUUCAUGUUAAAUAUAUUUUCAUUUGAAUAAAGCUUGUUGAAAAUGUUAA